rnacentral:rRNA from 1 species
GACGAACGCUGGCGGCGUGCUUAACACAUGCAAGUCGAACGGAAAGGCCCUGCUUUUGUUGGGUGCUCGAGUGGCGAACGGGUGAGUAACACGUGAGUAACCUGCCCUUGACUUUGGGAUAACUUCAGGUAACUGGGGCUAAUACCGGAUAGGAGCUCCUGCUGCAUGGUGGGGGUUGGAAAGUUUCGGCGGUUGGGGAUGGACUCGCGGCUUAUCAGCUUGUUGGUGGGGUAGUGGCUUACCAAGGCUUUGACGGGUAGCCGGCCUGAGAGGGUGACCGGCCACAUUGGGACUGAGAUACGGCCCAGACUCCUACGGGAGGCAGCAGUGGGGAAUAUUGCACAAUGGGCGGAAGCCUGAUGCAGCAACGCCGCGUGCGGGAUGACGGCCUUCGGGUUGUAAACCGCUUUCGCCUGUGACGAAGCGUGAGUGACGGUAAUGGGUAAAGAAGCACCGGCUAACUACGUG